UGCAGAUGGUGUGGGAGCACACUGCAUGGCAAGAUUUUUAAUCCAAGAAGAGCUGGCUUUGAAAACUGAAUCAAGACUGCAUCAGAAACUAUGACCCUGUUGUACCUGAUAUUAUUGCUCUUGGUUGAUGUUAUGAACAAUAAACUUGUGAAUCCUGAUGCACACUUGU